GCCAUCGAAAAAGUACAAUUCUAAAUAAAUAAUAAAAUUGAGGCGGGUUCAGUAAAAUUCACGCCAUAUUCGUCUUCUUCCCCACAGUUUCUCCCCGACGGAACGGUGGGGUUUCUCUCUUACGAGUCUUGUUGUGUUUCUUUCCGACGAGACUGUCACUCCGACCAGACUUGACUUCUUCACUAAAGCUACGAUAUUAUUUGUCUUCUUCACCGAAGUAUAUUUGAGCUGAUGGAUUAAUUUUGAGAUUAACACUUGUAUUGGUGAGCUGCUUAGCAUUCACCAUCAUUGUACAAUUCCUCUGAGGAACCUUUCACUUCACUGUGGAUCCACAAAGAAUCAGGUAGUGAAUGUGAACAAGGGGAUAAAAGCAAUGAAAGCCCACCUUAGGAGGAUUGAGUUGAUAGCUUUGAAAUUUAACAUGUGUUCUAGAAUCUGCACAUUGAACACGUGUUUCACCUCUUGAAUUGUCAAACAUUAUUGGGUAUCCUGCAUUUAUGGAUAUUAUUGACCUUGGAUCUUUGAUUGUUAUUUUGAUUAUGAAUAGUUUCUUCUCAUGUUUGAUGUA